AUAUCCAAUGAUCGAUUUGUUUUGAAAAUAUAUAAAGCCCAUCAACGCUUCAAAUUACUUAAAGUAGUUUUGUGGUGCCUUUCGUUGCCAUCGUGCAAGUGAAAAUUGUGACUUAAAAGAUGAACACGAGGACCUUACUUGUUCUGCUGUGCCUCUUCUCGUUGAUGAUAGCUGAUUUCGCCGUAUAUGGACAGUGUGUUAAACGCUAUGACUGCAGUCACAGAAAGUGUAACAGAAAAUGUUGGAGGAAGGGAUACCUAAAUGGAGCAUGCGCCCGGUCAAGAUAUUGUCCGCGAAAAAGACGAUUCAGGUGCAAGUGUUUUUGGAAAGUCCGAGGCUGACAUACAUGUACCUACCACAAUAAGACUGGGAAAUGUAUGGGAGAUAGAAAUACACUGUAGCUGAUUCAAAUUGUUACUUGGUUGUAUUGUGUUCAGUUCAAGAAUCGAAAAUAAAAGUUCUGCUUGUC